AUGGAGAUGAGGUGUACUAAUCUCCAGGUGGAGAUUGUUAAGCUGCAGGAGGAGGUUAAACCUCCUAACUCUUUGCAAGAGGUGGAAGAUUAUCGAAAAUAUGCAGAGGCUUUGAAAGCUCUCCAAGACAAGGUGGCCAGCCUAAUACUGGCACUUCAUGGUGCUCUUCAACAGAUCAUGUGGGAUGUGCUCGGAGACGAGAAUAAUUUGAGAAGCAUGCAAGGAAGUUAUGUCCUGAUGUUGUGA